rnacentral:lncRNA from 1 species
AAGGCUCUUCGCGAACGCAGGCUUUUCGUCGCUGCAUGAUGAAGACUACCUGUACCCUGACUGGGCGUUUCAGUAUCCAGAGUGGCACCUGUGCGGGGAAGAGUUGCCAACAUGGGCCAGCCGUUCCUGUUUUACCAUGGACCUGAACAGCCUGCACGACCAGACCACGCGCAAGUGGAUCACCAUCAACACGGCUCUCUACAACCGAACACUGAACCUUCCUAUGCCAGAAGCUCCGCCUGCGCACGACACACUCUCGGGAAUGAGGUUUUGAGC